rnacentral:rRNA from 1 species
GACGAACGCUGGCGGCGUGCUUAACACAUGCAAGUCGAACGGUAAGGCCCUUCGGGGUACACGAGUGGCGAACGGGUGAGUAACACGUGGGUGAUCUGCCCUGCACUUCGGGAUAAGCCUGGGAAACUGGGUCUAAUACCGGAUAGGACUCCGGACUGCAUGGUCUGGGGUGGAAAGCUUUUGCGGUGUGGGAUGGACCCGCGGCCUAUCAGCUUGUUGGUGGGGUGAUGGCCUACCAAGGCGACGACGGGUAGCCGGCCUGCGAGGGUGACCGGCCACACGGGGACUGAGAUACGGCCCAGCCUCCUACGGGAGGCAGCAGUGGGGAAUAUUGCACAAUGGUCGUAAGCCUGAUGCAGCUACGCCGCGUGAGGGAUGACGGCCUUCGGGUUGUAAACCUCUUUCAGCAUCGACGAAGCGAAAGUGACGGUAGGUGCAGAAGAAGGACCGGCCAACUACGUGCCAGCCGCCGCCGUAA